rnacentral:tRNA from 1 species
GUGUGUAUAGUGUAAAUAAAACACCUUAGCUUUUCAUGCUAAAAAUAUAUAAAGUAUUACACACC